rnacentral:rRNA from 1 species
AAAUGAAUGGUUGGACGAGAUAUUAACUGUUUCAUUAAAAUUUUGUUUAGAAUUUUAUUUUUUAGUCAAAAAGCUAAAAUUUAUUUAAAAGACGAGAAGACCCUAUAAAUCUUUAUAUUUUUUUUAUUUUAAUUAUUAAGAUUAAUUUUGUUUUAAUAAAAAAAAAUAUUUUAUUGGGGUGAUAUUAAAAUUUAAAAAACUUUUAAUUUUAAAAAAUCAUUAAUUUAUGAUUAUUUGAUCCAUUAAUAGUGAUUAAAAAAUUAAGUUACUUUAGGGAUAACAGCGUAAUUUUUUUGGAGAGUUCAUAUCGAUAAAAAAGAUUGCGACCUCGAUGUUGGAUUAAGAUAUAAUUUUGGGUGUAGCCGUUCAAAUUUUAAGUCUGUUCGACUUUUAAAUUCUUACAUGAUCUGAGUUCAAACCGGCGUAAGCCAGGUUGGUUUCUAUCUUUAAAAAAUUAUAAUAUUUUAGUACCGAAAGGACCAAAUAUUAGAAUAAUUAUAUUUUAAAUAAGAAUAUUAUUAAUUUAAAUGAAGCUAUUUUGGCAGAUUAGUGCAAUUAAUUA